rnacentral:rRNA from 1 species
GACGAACGCUGGCGGCGUGCCUAAUACAUGCAAGUCGAACGGCAGCACGGGGUAACCUGGUGGCGAGUGGCGAACGGGUGAGUAAUGCAUCGGAACGUACCUUUCAGUGGGGGAUAACGUAGCGAAAGUUACGCUAAUACCGCAUAUUCUGUGAGCAGGAAAGCAGGGGAGCGCAAGACCUUACGCUGAUUGAGCGGCCGAUGUCAGAUUAGCUAGUUGGCGAGGUAACGGCUCACCAAGGCAGUGAUGGGUAGCGGGUGUGAGAGCAUGACCCGCAUCAUUGGGACUGAGACACUGCCCAGACACCUACGGGUGGCUGCAGGCGAGAAUCUUCGGCAAUGGGCGCAAGCCUGACCGAGCGACGCCGCGUGCGGGAUGAAGGCCUUCGGGUUGUAAACCGCUGUCAGUGGGGAGGAAAUGUCGGUGGGUUCUCCCAUCGAUUUGACCUAUCCGCAGAGGAAGUACGGGCUAAGUUCGUGCCAGCAGCCGCCGUAACAC